rnacentral:rRNA from 1 species
CCCUUAGAUGUUCUGGGCCGCACACGCGCUACACUGAUACAUGCAACGAGUUUAUAACCUUGAUCUGACGGUCUGGGUAAUCUUCAAACUGUAUCGUGUUAGGGAUCGAUUCUUGCAAUUUUUAAUCGUAAACGAGGAAUUCCUAGUAAACGCAAGUCAUCAGCUUGCAUUGAUUAUGUCCCUGCCCUUUGUACACACCGCCCGUCGACUCUACCGAUUGAAUGGUUCGGUGAAAACUUUGGACUGUGGCAUUGUCCUUCAUUGGACUUCGCCGUAGGAAAUUGUUUAAACCUCAUCAUUUAGAGGAAGAAUAAGUCGUAACA